rnacentral:rRNA from 1 species
UUCGGAUGAUGAGACCGGCGCACGGGUGCGUAACGCGUAUACAAUCUACCUUUUACAGAGGGAUAGCCCAGAGAAAUUUGGAUUAAUACCUCAUAGUAUUUUUGAAUGGCAUCAUUUGAUUAUUAAAGUUCCAACGGUAAAAGAUGAGUAUGCGUCCCAUUAGCUAGAUGGUAAGGUAACGGCUUACCAUGGCAACGAUGGGUAGGGGUCCUGAGAGGGAGAUCCCCCACACUGGUACUGAGACACGGACCAGACUCCUACGGGAGGCAGCAGUGAGGAAUAUUGGACAAUGGGCGCAAGCCUGAUCCAGCCAUGCCGCGUGCAGGAAGAAGGUCCUAUGGAUUGUAAACUGCUUUUAUACAGGAAGAAACACACCCUCGUGAGGGUACUUGACGGUACUGUAUGAAUAAGGACCGGCUAACUCCGUGCCAGCAGCCGCGGUAAUACGGAGGGUCCAAGCGUUAUCCGGAAUCAUUGGGUUUAAAGGGUCCGUAGGCGGUUUAAUAAGUCAGUGGUGAAAGCCCAUCGCUCAACGAUGGAACGGCCAUUGAUACUGUUAAACUUGAAUUAUUAGGAAGUAACUAGAAUAUGUAGUGUAGCGGUGAAAUGCUUAGAGAUUACAUGGAAUACCAAUUGCGAAGGCAGGUUACUACUAAUAUAUUGACGCUGAUGGACGAAAGCGUGGGGAGCGAACAGGAUUAGAUACCCUGGUAGUCCACGCCGUAAACGAUGGAUACUAGCUGUUCGGAGCAAUCUGAGUGGC